UCCCUGGCAGUCCAGUGGUUAGGUCUCGGCACUUUGACUGCUGUGGCCCAGGUUCAAUUCCUGGUCAGGGAA